rnacentral:misc_RNA from 1 species
GGCACAGAUUCGGAUUCUCCCUAGGGAUAAACUCUCUAUGUGUGCAUCACCUGCUGAUGAACUAGUUCAGAUCACAGGUGAGGUUGAUGCUGUGAGGAAAGCUCUUCAAUCAGUUACUCAGCAGCUUCUGGAGAAUCCACCCAGGGAUAAUGACUCUCUCCCUGCCAAUUCUCAAGGACCUUCUUUUCAUUCAGUUGGUCACCCUCUUCCUAGGCCAGAAGCAUAUCCACCAACAUACCAUUCUUUUAAUGCUUGGGGAACAACUUAUAGUGCUGGACCUCGCGAUUUUCGUGAAAGUGGUAUCCCCAAUCGAAUGAAGCCUGCUUCAGAUAUAAUAACCUUCCGCUUACUUUGUCUUGAUGAGAAGGUAGGAGGUAUCAUUGGAAAAGGAGGAACCAUAAUAAAAACCCUUCAGCAAGAAACAGGCUGUGAUAUCAAAGUUUUGGAAGGGGUUUCUAAUUCAGAGGAUCGCAUUAUUCUCAUUUCUGGUCCAGCGCACCCAGAUGAUAGGAUAUCGGCUGCACAAGAUGCAGUUCUUCGUGUACAAACC